UACGGGGGGAGCAAGCGUUGUUCGGAUUUACUGGGCGUAAAGGGCGCGUAGGCGGCCACCGCAAGUCAGUUGUGAAAUCUCUGGGCUUAACCCAGAACGGUCAGCUGAUACUGCGGGGCUAGAGUGCAGAGGGGGCAACUGGAAUUCUCGGUGUAGCGGUGAAAUGCGUAGAUAUCGAGAGGAACACCAGUAGCGAAGGCGGCACUCUGGGCCGGUACUGACGCUGAGGAGCGAAAGCGUGGGGAGCGAACAGG
rnacentral:rRNA from 1 species